CGGCCUAACACAUGCAAGUCGAGCGGUAGCACAGGAGAGCUUGCUCUCCGGGUGACGAGCGGCGGACGGGUGAGUAAUGUCUGGGAAACUGCCUGAUGGAGGGGGAUAACUACUGGAAACGGUAGCUAAUACCGCAUAACGUCGCAAGACCAAAGAGGGGGACCUUCGGGCCUCUUGCCAUCGGAUGUGCCCAGAUGGGAUUAGCUUGUAGGUGAGGUAACGGCUCACCUAGGCGACGAUCCCUAGCUGGUCUGAGAGGAUGACCAGCCACACUGGAACUGAGACACGGUCCAGACUCCUACGGGAGGCAGCAGUGGGGAAUAUUGCACAAUGGGCGCAAGCCUGAUGCAGCCAUGCCGCGUGUAUGAAGAAGGCCUUCGGGUUGUAAAGUACUUUCAGCGGGGAGGAAGGUGUUGUGGUUAAUAACCGCAGCAAUUGACGUUACCCGCAGAAGAAGCACCGGCUAACUCCGUGCCAGCAGCCGCGGUAAUACGGAGGGUGCAAGCGUUAAUCGGAAUUACUGGGCGUAAAGCGCACGCAGGCGGUCUGUUAAGUCAGAUGUGAAAUCCCCGGGCUCAACCUGGGAACUGCAUUUGAAACUGGCAGGCUUGAGUCUCGUAGAGGGAGGUAGAAUUCCAGGUGUAGCGGUGAAAUGCGUAGAGAUCUGGAGGAAUACCGGUGGCGAAGGCGGCCUCCUGGACGAAGACUGACGCUCAGGUGCGAAAGCGUGGGGAGCAAACAGGAUUCGAUACCCUGGUAGUCCACGCUGUAAACGAUGUCGAUUUGGAGGUUGUGCCCUUGAGGUGUGGCUUCCGGAGCUAACGCGUUAAAUCGACCGCCUGGGGAGUACGGCCGCAAGGUUAAAACUCAAAUGAAUUGACGGGGGCCCGCACAAGCGGUGGAGCAUGUGGUUUAAUUCGAUGCAACGCGAAGAACCUUACCUGGUCUUGACAUCCAGAGAAUCCUGCAGAGAUGCGGGGAGUGCCUUCCGGGAACUCUGAGACAAGGUGCUGCAUGGCUGGCCGUCAGCUCGGGGUUGUGAAAUGUUGGGGUUAAGUCCCGCAACGAAGGGAAACC
rnacentral:rRNA from 1 species